rnacentral:misc_RNA from 1 species
GAUGAAGAACUCAGCGAAACGCGAUAUGUAAUGUGAAUUGCAGAAUUCAGUGAAUCAUCGAAUCUUUGAACGCACAUGGCGCCUUCCAGUAUCCUGGGAGGCAUGCCUGUCCGAGCGUCGUUUCAACCCUCGAGCCCCCGUGGCCCGGCGUUGGGGAUCUGCCCAGGCAGUCCCCGAAAACCAGUGGCGGACCCGUUACAGGCCCUUCCCUUGCGUAGUAGCAUUCGCCUCGCAUCGGGAGCCGGCGGGCUUCCAGCCUCUAAACCCCCAUCAAGUCCGCCCCGGCGGCACCAAGGUUGACCUCGGAUCAGGUAGGAAUACCCGCUGAACUUAAGCAUAUCAAUAAGCGGAGGA